GGGAGGGGCUCAGCUGUCUGUAUCACUCUACACUCUGUCCUAGAAGAAGAAGAAGGAGGGGGACGGGGGCUGUAACAUCUGCACUUCUUUCUCUGCCUAAAGCCACAAGUCGUUUUAACCCCUUCAUUCUUGGUUUCCCUCCUUAAGUUAUCCAAGAACAAAGCUACUUCUGUCAAAGUGCUUUUUUCUCUAGCUAACACAAUUGCAGUUGGAUCUAGAUCUUGAAAUGUUUUCACAAAUUCAUUAAUUAACUGAUCUUUUGUUUUUUCUUAUUAACAAACAAUUUCUUGUCAAUUUCACUAUUGGCAAUUUCACAUUGUGUGUAUAAAGAUUGCCA